GCAUUAAUGGGGUAGUGGUAACCUGGGUCGUUGCCAAGAAUUGAUCUUCAAUUCGACCCGCCGGGGGUUCGAUUCCCCCUUAAUGCA